ACGCUGGCGGCGUGCCUAACACAUGCAAGUCGAACGGGGAUUUGUUUCGGCAGAAUCCUAGUGGCGAACGGGUGAGUAACGCGUAGGCAACCUGCCCUCCGGCCGGGGACAACACUCCGAAAGGGGUGCUAAUACCGGAUACGAAGUCUGUGCCGCAUGGUACGGAUUUGAAAGAUGGCCUCUAUUUAUAAGCUAUCGCCGGGGGAUGGGCCUGCGUCCGAUUAGCUGGUUGGUGGGGUAACGGCCUACCAAGGCGACGAUCGGUAGCCGGUCUGAGAGGAUGAACGGCCACAUUGGGACUGAGACACGGCCCAGACUCCUACGGGAGGCAGCAGUGGGGAAUCUUCCGCAAUGGGCGCAAGCCUGACGGAGCAACGCCGCGUGAGUGAGGAAGUUCUUCGGAACGCAAAGCUCUGUUGUUCCUGACGAACCUCCCUUCUAUCAACAACGGAGGGGACUGACGGUAGGGAACGAGGAAGCCACGGCUAACUACGUGCCAGCCGCAGC
rnacentral:rRNA from 1 species